rnacentral:rRNA from 1 species
AGUGAACGCUGGCGGUAGGCUUAACACAUGCAAGUCGAACGGCAGCACAGUAAGAGCUUGCUCUUACGGGUGGCGAGUGGCGGACGGGUGAGGAAUACAUCGGAAUCUACUUUUUCGUGGGGGAUAACGUAGGGAAACUUACGCUAAUACCGCAUACGACCUACGGGUGAAAGCAGGGGAUCUUCGGACCUUGCGCGAUUGAAUGAGCCGAUGUCGGAUUAGCUAGUUGGCGGGGUAAAGGCCCACCAAGGCGACGAUCCGUAGCUGGUCUGAGAGGAUGAUCAGCCACACUGGAACUGAGACACGGUCCAGACUCCUACGGGAGGCAGCAGUGGGGAAUAUUGGACAAUGGGCGCAAGCCUGAUCCAGCCAUACCGCGUGGGUGAAGAAGGCCUUCGGGUUGUAAAGCCCUUGUUGGGAAAGAAAAGCAGCAGGUUAAUACCCCGCUGUUCUGACGGUACCCAAAGAAUAAGCACCGGCUAACUUCGUG